rnacentral:rRNA from 1 species
UACGUAGGGGGCUAGCGUUGUCCGGAAUUAUUGGGCGUAAAGGGCGCGUAGGCGGCCUGGCAAGUGGAAGGUGAAAUCCCUCGGCUUAACCGAGGAACUGCCCUCCAAACUGCUUGGCUUGAGUCCGGGAGAGGUGAGUGGAAUUCCCAGUGUAGCGGUGAAAUGCGUAGAUAUUGGGAGGAACACCAGUGGCGAAGGCGGCUCACUGGACCGGAACUGACGCUGAGGUGCGAAAGCGUGGGGAGCAAACGGG